ACACUUUUUUCACAAA
rnacentral:rRNA from 1 species